rnacentral:lncRNA from 1 species
UUAACUUAUACUGGGAUGUUUGGAUAGGCUGUGAUGAUUCCCAUGGUAAAAGGUCAGUUGCUAAAGGGAUUGCAGACUCAUGGAUCGAUUUAGAAUUUUGGUUUUCCAUAAGGUAAGAAUAAAUAAAAAUAAAUAAAGAAUAUAAAAGAUAAGAAAAGAUAAAAGUAUAGAUACAAGCUAAUAGCAAGACACAGGUUAUCUCAGCAACCGUCUUUCUCCCCGGCAACGGCGCCAGAAAUGCUUGUUGAUAUUUGGGAACGCAAUAAGGAAUUGAUCCGCAAGCGCACGGAUAUCGGUGAGCAUUUCACCCGGGAAAUUAUCCAGAGUAUCGUAUUUAUUUUUUUACCACUAGGAGAAAGAGUGCAUCUGACUAACCGGUCUAUUACUACUAACAUUUAGGCACAAAGAAUGUCUUUCGAUGUGAGUGAUAAAUAGAGAAGACUGCAACCGUAGUCUCCUUCUAACCUUGGUAAGGAUGAUCUACUGUUCUAAUGGGGAGG